rnacentral:lncRNA from 1 species
UAAUGUGGAGAGGCCUGGGGCCUUUCCCUGAGGACUGGAUGGCUGGAGUUUGGGAGCCUGAGUUGACAGAGGAGGCUAAGCCCGGGCAGCUACUUUGUUCCAGAAAUCUAAGGUCCCUGGAGGGAGGCUCUGCUUUGGGAGGGGGAAGGGAGCUAACAUUGCAGAGCACCAACUGUGAACCAGGUACAAUGGCAGAGCCUUUCCAUACCUGUACUCACAACUAGCGGGUGAGGAGUCAAGGCAAAUAGGUGUCUCAUAGCUCCCCAUAUCUCGGCAGUCGACCACCUCCUCCUUUGAUUCUCUGAUGUCACUGCCAGUUCUCCUCCUAUUGCUCUGACCUGUCUUUCUCUGUGUCCUUUGCAAACUCAUUCUCAACUCCUUAGACUCAGUCAAGUCCCCCAGUUACACACUUCCAUGGUACUAUAUAUCGUUCCUUCAGAGCACUUAACACAGUUAUUUCCUAUGUAUUUGUCCAGUCAUUUGAAUAAUGAUCCUAGUUUCAUUGGAUGGAAAGUUCCACAAGGUCAGUGACCAUUUCUAUCUGUGUUCACCAAUGUGUUCCCAGUGCCCAGAAACAAUGCCUAGCAUAAAGCAGCUGUUUUGUAAAUACUUGUUCAAUGAAUGAAUAAAUGACAAAAGAACAUC